ensembl:lncRNA
UAAACCUAGAGGUUUCUACAGGGGUGGGAGGUGAGGAGGUAAACCUAGAGGUUUCUACAGGGGUGGGAGGUGAGGAGGUAAACCUAGAGGUUUCUACAGGGGUGGAAGGUGAGGAGGUAAACCUAGAGGUUUCUGCAGGGGUGGAAGGUGAGGAGGUAAACCUAGAGGUUUCUACAGGGGUGGGAGGGGAUAAUAAACCUAGAGGUUUCUGCAGGGGUGGAAGGGGAGGUAAAGAAUAGUGUACACUACUGAUUCAUGUUUUAGUUUGAUUCUUAUUACUGUAAAGAAUAGUGUACACUACUGAUUCAUGUUUUAGUUUGAUUCUUAUUACUGUAAAGAAUAGUGUACACUACUGAUUCAUGUUUUAGUUUGAUUCUUAUUACUGUAAAGAUGAAAUGGGAUUUUUCUCACUCUUGCAUUUCUUCUGUAGAGCUUAAAAACAUUUCCUUUCUGUUUUUGCUAUUUUUUCUAUGACGAUCAGAUUGAGUGAUUGAUUAACCUCCCAACCCAAAGAUCCCGCCAAUUCACAUCGUGUCAGUGAUUUGAUUGGCUCCUCUCUCAAAGCUGCACGUUGUUGACGUCCCCUUCAGCCAGUCAGCAGGAAGGGGGGUUACCCCCUGUAACAGACAUCUCCUCCUCCUCUAGAUGACUCUGUAGUGAAGGAAGGGGGGGUUACCCCCUGUAACAGACAUCUCCUCCUCCUCUAGAUGACUCUGUAGUGAAGGAAGGGGUGGUUCCCCCCUGUAACAGACAUCUCCUCCUCCUCUAGAUGACUCUGUAGUGAAGGAAGGGGGGUUCCCCCUGUAACAGACAUCUCCUCCUCCUCUAGAUGACUCUGUAGUGAAGGAAGGGGAGGUUCCCCCUGUAACAGACAUCUCCUCCUAACAGACAUCUCCUCCUCCUCUAGAUGACUCUGUAGUGAAGGAAGGGGGGGUUCCCCCCUGUAACAGACAUCUCCUCCUCUAGAUGACUCUGUAGUGAAGGAAGGGGGGUUCCCCCCUGUAACAGACAUCUCCUCCUCCUCUAGAUGACUCUGUAGUGAUGGAAGGGGGGUUCCCCCCUGUAACAGACAUCUCCUCCUCCUCUAGAUGACUCUGUAGUGAAGGAAGGGGGGGUUACCCCCUGUAACAGACAUCUCCUCCUCUAGAUGACUCUGUAGUGAAGGAAGGGGGGGUGGUUGUUGUUUCGGCCACACAGCCAACAGAUAGUUCAAUAUUCAAUACUGUUCAAUCGUUGACCCCUGGCAUUUCUAUGAAUUCUAAAAGAACCUUAUCCGAUAGAUUUUAAUCGUCUUAUGAUCACUAUCAAGGGUUUAUUAAAUGAAGUUGAUGCUGCUGCUAUUUAUGACUUUCUUUUGCCUUAUCAUUUCACAGAGAGAGAGAGGGCCUUUCAGAGACUGUCAGAGAGUCUACACCAUAGAGAGAUACAUUCAAAGAUGUUCCAUUGAAUUCUAUGGGAAACACACAGUAAAGUAAUGACAUGCAUUCCCAACAUGUCAAUAGUGUUUCAGGGGAUUAGUUAAAGCAAGGCGAGGCACAGAAUCAAUCAUCUUGAUCAAAUAAUAGUUGAAUAUAACUUGAAUACGUAGUUAUUUGAUAUGUAAGGAGAUGUAUAAAUCAGUAAUGCUGUGAAGUCUGACUGCAAAUGUAGCUGAUCUCAAAGACCGUGAAGUCUGCACAUAGUAAACAAAUUCCAAAGACCGUAAACACAGUCUGCACAUAGUAAACUAAUUCCCUAAGACCGUAAACACAGUCUGCACAUAGUAAACAAAUUCCCUAAGAUCGUAAACACAGUCUGCACAUAGUAAACGAAUUCCCAUAUUCUACUACUCUUCAGCGCUCGGUUCUCCUAGCUUAGCACCAAUGGUUCCAUGUUCUGUUAGAACCCUCUGAACUGAUAGCUUAGCACUAAUGGUUCCAUGUUCUGUUAGAACCCUCUGAAUUGUCACAGAACCAUAAAACGUAGAUAUGGAAUGAUCUUAGGUCGUCUGUGACUUGAUGUUCCAUGGCCGGCUUGCUGUCCUAUCUGGGCAACGGGUGGGGCAGUCAUGACACGGUUGGGACUUGAUUGACCUUUCUGUUCUAUGAUCUUUUAAAAGCACGUAGGCAUUACUACCAUCGCUUCUCAAAUGGCACCCUGGCCAUAGUGCACAUUUGGGAUGCGGUCUACAUUUCUUUCAAAUGAAGGUUUGAAGGGGGUAACUACAUGAAGAACAUAUUAAUACAUAUAUUAUAUAUUAUGUAUAUAUUUUACUAAGACUGACCACAAAUAAACGGUCCUUCACUGAGACGGAGAGGGCUGAAAACAGAAUGGGUUCUAUAAUAGAACUCUAAUGGUUCUGAACCAUAGGGUGGGUUCUAUAAUAGAACUCUAAUGGUUCUGAAUCAUAGGGUGGGUUCUAUAAUAGAACGCUAAUGGUUCUGAACCAUAGGGUGGGUUCUGUAAGAGAACUCUAGUGGUUCUAGGGUUCUUCUGACUCUGUGCUCCUGUCUGGCUUCAUAGUAACUGCUUGUCAAAGCUUCUGUCAAGUCGUUUCCCAAAUGUUCCAUCUGUAUAGCAUGUCAAUAAAACACAUUUUGUCUGGA